rnacentral:rRNA from 1 species
AAACAGGGUUUGAUACCUCGACGUAAUGAUUAAUAAGCAUAGUCUAGUGCAUUAGUAUUCAAUUGUCAGAGGUGAAAUUGAGGGAUUUAUUGAAGACUAACUCCUGCGAAAGCAUGUGCCAAGGAUGUUUUCAUUAAUCAAGAACGAAAGUUAGGGGAUGGAGGACGAUCAGUGGCCGUCGUAGUCUUAACCAUAAAAACCUCCGACUAGGGAUCAUCUGAUGUUAAUUUUUUAAUGACUCAUUGUGGCGCCUUACGGGAAACCAAAGUGUUUGGGUUCCGGGGGGAGUAUGGUCGCAAGGCUGAAACUUAAAGGAAUUGACGGAAGGGCACCACCAGGGGUGGAGCCUGCGGCUUAAUUUGACCCAACACGGGGAAACUCACCAGGUCCAGACAUAGUAAGGAUUGACAGAUUGAGAGCUCUUUCAUGAUCCUAUGGGGGAUGGUGCAUGGCCGUUUUCAGUGGGUGGAGCGAUUGGUAGCGUUAAUUCCGUUAACGAACGAGACCUUAACCUGCUAAAUAGCUAGGCUUAACUUCGGUUAGGUCGUCAGCUUCUUAGAGGGACUAUCGGUGUUUAACCGAUGGAAGUUUGAGGCAAUAACAGGUCCGUGAUGCCUACAGAUGUUCUGUCACGCACGCGGAGUACACUGAUGAAGUCAUAGAGUUCUUUUCCUUUAUGAGGAGAUAUGAGUAAUUUUGGAAAUUUCAUGGGGAAGGGGUAGAGCGAUACAUUA